UUGGGGAGCUGUAAGUAAGCUUUGAUCCAGAGAUUUCCGAAUGGGGAAACCCAGCAUGAGUUAUGUCAUGUUAUCGAUAUGUGAAUACAUAGCAUAUCAGAAGGCACACCCGGAGAACUGAAACAUCUUAGUACCCGGAGGAAGAGAAAGAAAAUUCGAUUCCCUUAGUAGCGGCGAGCGAAACGGGAAGAGCCCAAACCAACAAGCUUGCUUGUUGGGGUUGUAGGACACUCUAUACGGAGUUACAAAGGACGACAUUAGACGAAUCAUCUGGAAAGAUGAAUCAAAGAAGGUAAUAAUCCUGUAGUCGAAAAUGUUGUCUCUCUUGAGUGGAUCCUGAGUACGACGGAGCACGUGAAAUUCCGUCGGAAUCUGGGAGGACCAUCUCCUAAGGCUAAAUACUCUCUAGUGACCGAUAGUGAACCAGUACCGUGAGGGAAAGGUGAAAAGCACCCCGGAAGGGGAGUGAAAUAGAACCUGAAACCGUGUGCUUACAAGUAGUCAGAGCCCGUUAAUGGGUGAUGGCGUGCCUUUUGUAGAAUGAACCGGCGAGUUACGAUUUGAUGCAAGGUUAAGCAGUAAAUGUGGAGCCGUAGCGAAAGCGAGUCUGAAUAGGGCGUUUAGUAUUUGGUCGUAGACCCGAAACCAGGUGAUCUACCCUUGGUCAGGUUGAAGUUCAGGUAACACUGAAUGGAGGACCGAACCGACUUACGUUGAAAAGUGAGCGGAUGAACUGAGGGUAGCGGAGAAAUUCCAAUCGAACCUGGAGAU
rnacentral:rRNA from 1 species